CUCCUCUAAUGCAGAAUCACAGGAGGGACUCUUGUCCCAGAUAAGAGGUCAACCCCACUGUGACUCCACAGGAGAAAAAUGAAAGCCCAGAGCAGAGGAAGAAAUGUGUACCUUAGAGCUGGGCCUCUUUGUACCUGAUGUUCUCUGCUUAGGUUUUAGAUUUUACUCAAAAAUACCAUUUUUUCCAGAGAGAAAAAUAUCCCUUUUUAGCUUCCAGCUGACCUGAAUUUUAAGAUGUGUGGAAGUCACCACUGGUGCUGCAUGUGGCUUUAGAAGAACCCCCGCCACGGGGCCCAUCCUCUCCCUUGGUGGAACACCCCUGUUUGUCACCUAUUGGACCUGUCAACUUGACAUCAGCCGUUCCAUACUCAAAGCUGCAUUUUGUAGUCUUUUCAAAGGGAGAAUGUCCCGCACCCUCUAGAAACAGAGCUUAAGACUCAUUCCCUGAUAACUGUCAGAUUUUGUUCUUGAAAUCUAUUUUUUUAAUAAUAUAAAAAGAUUUACUGAUUUGCUCUUUGCAGUUAUUGUACCACAUGUCCCCAGUGCUCAAGCCAUGCCCAGCAGGCAAAACAGGUGAAGCAGGCAUCUUGGAAAGUACUUCUAGCUCAAUGUCAAGGGCAUGUCUUUACAGUGUAGGGUGAAUUCAUUCCCUUCCCUCCCCCCUUGUAUUCCUCUCUCCCCAGAUAGAAAUGAUGACGAUUCAUAGGCCUCCCUCCCCCGCCAGUUCAUGCUGUCUUUUCCUUUUCUCCCCAAAGAAUAAAUGCUUCUUAGAAUUCAUGGCUCCCUUAGGGUAAGUGUUUAUAUAAGUACAGUUAUUCUUAUAUUGUCCUACGCCCUCAUUUAAAUUUUCCCAACGUACAAAUUUCAUUUCAAGGACUCUCCCCAUCUCAGCAUCCUCUACAAACCUUUUCUAGCCCUGUUGCUGAUGACUUUCUCCCCAGAAUGCUUUGCUGGGAGCAGGAAAGCCAGCAGAGGCCUUUGCAGGGUGGCUGCCUUGAUGUUGUCAUUGAAACUAGCGCACUGCUGACUGUGAUUCCUGCUGUUGUGAGAGAGACUACGUGGCUUUUUCCCCUUCUUUCUUCCUGUCUUCUCUUUUUAAGCCUGACAGUUUUCUCCAACUCACCUGAGAUUUAAUUUUCACUUUAUGAUCCUUUACCUGUUUUGACAUUAGAGAAAUCAGAAUGUCAGUGAAGUUAUCUCCCGGCAGAAUUCGAUCAGAUGGAACACACGCUUUACCAAAACGGCACCUGGUCUCGCCUGGCUCUGUUCUGUUGAAGGGCGACUUAAAAGAGGGGUUCAGCCUUGAGUGUCGCCACCUGGGGAGAGGGUGGGGUUGGGACCUGAAGGUCUGAGGGCUUGCCCAGCUCUGCCCCUUCCUUCCUGCCAUUUGCCUUCUCUGCCUCAGUAUCUCUAUCUGUAAAAUAGUCAUAAAGACUCCUUUUCCAAGUGGAUUUUUGGUCCGUGACUAUCUUUUACUAAUAGCAAGUCCCUCCUUGCACUUUCAAGCAUCCUUCUGCGAUAAAGGCUACAGUGUCAGUAAGGAAAGUUGAGGUGUCAGCAAGGUUCUAACCCUUAAGGUCCCAUCAUCACCAGGAGACAGUCGUUGGGGCUUAUCUGUGACAGGCCCUGGAUGACCUGUUACCCCGUCCCUGCGCAUGCAGGCUUGGGGAAAGUCAUUUCUGGUUUUCUCUAUUUCCCUUCCCCAUCUCAUAAAGCUGCUCUUAGGUAAUUUGGGAAUGCGUUAAAAUGCUCUAAGCUCAUUAGAAAAGACUCCCCCCGCUCCUGUUUUCUUGUUGUACAAGCUCUUGUGGGUUUGAUGGAAACCAAAUGCAUCUCCUUAGAUGUUUGUACUCGAUAUCAAUCUUCUAAACACUGGCAUUAUCAAGAUCUUUGAAGCAGCCGUCAGCCUCAAAUAGCAGGCUAAAGAUACUCCUGGUUGCGUGGAAUUAUCACAUGGCAAGCUAGAGAGAUAAAGGCUGGAAUCAAGGGGAUUUUCUGGUUUGUUGUUGUUGUUGUUUGUCUUGGGGAGAGAAAAAUCUAUCAGAAGUCUGCUGGAAAUGUGCAUGUCCAUGUCAUUAGAAGUAAGCUACUUCGAUGAAAUUACCUGUCUAUAAUAUGGCACCUGAAUUUAAGGAAUUGAGGACAUAAAAGGCUCAUUUGGAGUCUAACAGCCUCAGAUCUUUUUUAUGCAUCUGUUAUCAGAGCUAUUUUCAUUCCUACUGGCUGGCUCUGGGAGACACAGCCCCAAGCCAGCAUCAUAUCACCCCCACCCCGCACCACCACAAAGGCCACAGCCCCCAGAUGGCUCCCACCACUGCUGUCCUUUCUGUAAUCCCUGGCCCUCCCUCCUACCCCAGUGCUCUUGUGAGCUUGCUGUCUCCACUCCACAGAUGUCAUCAGCUGUAUUUCCAGAGCCCUCCCUGUGCCUGCCUCUGUUAAGGUCACGCAUAUGUUUGAAACAUGCAAAUAUCAGCAUUAUUGUUGCCCCUGACAAAUAUCAUCUGUCUAUGAAAGUCCUCAGGAAAUGGGACUCUCCCAGAUGAAGUGUAAAACCUUCCUCUAAUUUAGGACAGAAAAGUAUUUCAUGAGGGUGGGUCCUGCCCGUUCCUCCUUUCCUCUUUCUCCUGAAAGCUUUUUAGUUAAAAUCUCUAGUUAAAAUCUUUCCUCAUGCCUUUUCACUGUUUGUAGCGUCCAGCAGCUGCAGUUGUUGUCAGGAGCUAGCACGUCCUGUAUUACCGAUCACCUUGACUCUGACAUGCAGCAAGGGGACAGGUUUUCCAAUACGAUCACACUUCACUGCAGCAGUAACUUCUAUGUAGAAUCAGGCUCAGGUUCUUAGGAGUGAUGCCCAGUAUGUGAAACACUGAGAGGAGCGGAAGCCAGUGUCCAUAGAGAUGCUAAUAAAUAGGCAGGACGUGCUCGGGGUGUGUGUGUGUCUGUGUCGCAUUUAUUUUCUUCGGUCUUCUCAAGGAAGAGUGAAUUCACUAAUAAACCCUAGUAAACCUAUUAUGUAGUCAGUUUGAAUUAAUAUGUACCUGUCAUGCAAAUCAGCAAUCACAAUCCUUCACCUGUGUCUAGAGCGUCACCAAUUACAAACAUCCCCCGUUCCUAAAGACCAAAUGAGUGGACAAGAGUCGGUGAUGCAAUGAUUCUUACAAUGCAGUUAGAUUUAGAUACUCAAAAUGUGACCUGGGUCUUUAUUUCUGUGGCUCCAAAGCCUUCCAGAAGCAAAUUGGGGUGGCUUUCAAAGUUUCCCUUUGUUCUUACAGAUGUAGAGCCUGCAUUUCUGGUAAUACAGGGAGUCAGUUCAGAAUUGAAUCUCAGUUGCGGUAUCGAACGCAUACCUGUGUAUCUCUCUUCUGAUGCAGGAUGUGGAAAGCCAUCUAACCCCAGGCAGGACCCACCCAGGCAUCAGAUUUUCUAAGGGUCCAUUUGAUUGGGCCCUGAGGAUGCAAUACGCUUUACAGUUGGGGAUGAGGUGCCCAGCACUGGAGGGGUUCAAAGACAAGUACCCCAUACCUGUGUACAGGUGACUAGGGGGAGGUAUGAAAGAUUGUCCUAGGGAACUAUGGUAAAGCAUGGUUUCUCAGCAACCUGUUUUCUCUCCUUCCUGAACAUCAAGUAGACUAUGCUCCUCAAUUUUCUUUGCAGUGGUAAACUUUUAUUUUGUUAAGUCAGAUGUGUUUGUUUCAGCAGCUAGCAGUUACCUUACCUAAUACAGAACCUUUGAAUUUGUAUUCAGUCCUAAGAGAUGAGAUUCAGUUGUGAUUUCUUGUGACUUUCUCACCACUUCGAGUUGAUUCUUAUGUUUUUUUUCUUUCCUUCUGGUUUUCCACAGAAUUUCCAUUAUCCCCUUUUGAUUUUUAUAGGGCUGCUCAGUGACUCACGGACAAGGAAGUGGCUAAUGUGAGUGUAGUCUACCCAGUUAUAUAGCCUAAAAGCGUGUUUUCUGGGCAUGUGUCCAGCCUAUUGUGGUUGAACAUCCAGGCCGGGGGGUGGGGGUAGGGUGAGCGCAGGGGACAGUGAGGGUGACAGCUUCAGGCUGUGACUGAGACUGACGUGGGGGUGGGAUCAGUGGAUUGUGGUGGCUGCUAAGUGAGGAGUUACCUGCAGGAAGGGGGCGGGGGCUGUCAUUUCCCAAACAUCACCACUCAAGCUGAAGUUGUGAACUCCCUGGGGAAGCCAAGUAAGCAAGUGCUAAAUGACCCUAACCUCAUUGGGGGGUGUGUAUGUGUGUCCCUAACACACUGCAGGAUCUUUAAGUCAGUAGUAGAAGCAGAGGGUUCAGAACUCCAGAGAAGGACUUAAUGGAAUUUGUUUUUGAUGCUGACUACUUACUGAUAAAUCAAGGGGGGUCGGCUGUAAGGAGGCUAAAUAUCUUUCCUAAGAAAUUGUGUGUUAGUUUUAGAAUAAGUUUGAAUUGGGCUGCCCCUCAAAGGGAGCAAUCAUUUUAAAGGCUGUCUUUUGGAGAAAUCCUGUUUUUUGCUUUGAAAGCUUUUUUUUUAAAAAAAAACAUCCUGAUCACCGUCAGAUUUAGAAUUUGAAAAAAGGUUAGAAUUCUGGCUCAAGAGAGUGAAACUCCUGACCAAUAUUAUCUUGAUUCUUCCUUUUAAUUUUAUAAUAAAGGGUGAUAAAAGAGUCUGCCCGGCCUUUUGUCCAGAGUGGCGGUGAUAGUCUCUGUGUGUGUGUGUGUGUAUAUGUGUGUGUGUGUGUGUGUGUGUGUGUGUGUGUGUAUUGUUGGGGGCGGUAGUUUAUCAAAGACUUUAACAUAUAAUCAUUUUUAUCACAUUGUAUUCGUCAAUUACUCUUGACUCAGUCGACAUGCAGUCAUAUUCUUAUAAACCAAUGUGAACACUGGAGUGCUUUAUUUAAUUUAAAAGUGUGUCUUGUUUGAAUAUAGUUAUUUACCAGAAGCCUUUUCAUAAAGUGCUUCUUGUGUAGAAUUAGGUGAUUUUAAUAAGCGCUGAAGGCCAGACAGUAAUUCAGCUGUGGUAUUUGAGUUUCUUUUCCCCUCUUCUUUGACUCAAUCCUUUGAUGUUGCUAAGCUCUUCACUAAUAUCAGUUGCUGUUGACAUGCAAACCAACAAAUAUAUUUAGCACAACACACCAGAGGCUGGAAAGUAAAGCUUUUAAUUAACCUGCAGGGAAUUUUCUAAGAUCAGAGGC
rnacentral:lncRNA from 1 species